rnacentral:rRNA from 1 species
GACGUAGGGCGCGAGCGUUGUCCGGAUUUAUUGGGCGUGAAGAGCUCGUAGGCGGCUUGUCGCGUCGUCCGUGAAAACCUGUGGCUCAACUGCAGGCUUGCGGUCGAUACGGGCAGGCUGGAGUUCGGUAGGGGAGACUGGAAUUCCUGGUGUAGCGGUGAAAUGCGCAGAUAUCAGGAGGAACACCGGUGGCGAAGGCGGGUCUCUGGGCCGAUAUUGACGCUGAGGAGCGAAAGCGUGGGGAGCGAACAGG